rnacentral:tRNA from 1 species
GCACUGGUGGUUCAGUGGUAGGAUUUCACCUUCCGUGUAGGAGACCCAGGUUUGAUUCCCAGCCAGUGCA